AUACGGAGGAUGCAAGCGUUAUCCGGAUUUAUUGGGUUUAAAGGGUGCGCAGGCGGUUUGAUAAGUCAGCGGUGAAAUAUUUCAGCUUAACUGGAAGGGUGCCGUUGAUACUGUCGAGCUUGAAUUUAGUUGCUGUGGGUGGAAUGUGUGGUGUAGCGGUGAAAUGCAUAGAUAUCACACAGAAUAUCGAUUGCGAAGGCAGCUCACAAAGCUAAUAUUGACGCUGAUGCACGAAAGUGUGGGGAUCAAACAGGAUUAGAUACCCUGGUAGUCCACACUGUAAACGAUGAUAACUCGCUGUCGGCGAUACAUAGUCGGUGGCCAAGCGAAAGCGAUAAGUUAUCCACCUGGGGAGUACGACCGCAAGGUUGAAACUCAAAGGAAUUGACGGGG
rnacentral:rRNA from 1 species